CUUCAGCAUUGAGCUUCUUUGGCCAUCUCAUUCAAUCAUUUCACAAUUACUUUUUCUCAAAGUAAUUCACCAUUCAACUACUUCGUCUAUUUAAAAAGUAAUUAUGAAAUGAUUGAAUGAGAUGGCCAAAGAAGCUCAAUGCUAUAA
rnacentral:miRNA from 1 species